CCUACGGGUGGCAGCAGUGAGGAAUAUUGGUCAAUGGACGCAAGUCUGAACCAGCCAUGCCGCGUGCAGGAAGACGGCUCUAUGAGUUGUAAACUGCUUUUGUACGAGGGUAAACGCAGAUACGCGUAUCUGUCUGAAAGUAUCGUACGAAUAAGGAUCGGCUAACACCGUGCCAGCAGCCGCGGUAAUACGGAGGAUUUAAGCGUUAUCCGGAUUUAUUUGGUUUAAAGGGUGCGUAGGCGGUCGGCUAAGUUAGAGGUUAAAUCCCGAUGCUCAACUUCGGAAUUGCCUGUGAUACUGUUCGGCUAGAGAGUAGUUGAGGUAGGCAGAAUGUAUGGUGUAGCGGUGAAAUGCUUAGAGAUCGUACAGAACACCGAUUGCGAAGGCAGCUUACCAGGCUACUUCUGACGUUGAGGCACGAAAGCGUGGGGAGCGAACAGGAUGAGAUACCCUAGUAGUC
rnacentral:rRNA from 1 species